ACCUGUAACUAACAGUAGACAACUGGAUUGACACAACUUAUAGUGUAAAGCUUAAAAAAUGUAAAAUCUGGUAUCGAUCUCGAUUCCAUCCUCGAUUUUGAGGUACCAAUUCGUAAUUCCUCUUUAUCAUUAGUAUUAUGUGUAUGUGUUUCAUAGAUAUUUAUUCUGAUUUGUUGAUGUUAUAAAACUUUUUAAAAUAGUCGAAUGAAUUCAUGAUAUUUAGUCAUUGUGUUUAACUCACACCAGGAAGAUAUCAUUCAUGAUGGCCAAUUAUGACAGUGAUCAGUGUUGUUUCUGAUGUUUGUAUUUUAUAGGCAAGAUCACUUAUUUUAUAUUAUUAUUAAGAGUUGGUUCUUAGUUGACAUUUUAAGUUGAAGGCAUCUAGGUGUCUGACACCAAGCGUCUCUUAGGCUCUCGUGUCGGUUGCAUUUACUUGCUUCUAGUAUUUUGAAUUAUUACACGUUGAUGUUAGACACCGACACGACACAUGUGGUUGUAUUCAAUUAUUUUAGGUUUAUUGAAUAUUCAAUGUGUCUAGUCUAUGUAACAGUUUUAGUUGAGGUACAUUGAUUAUUCAUGUUAGUGUCGAAUUUGAUGUUGAUUGUGAAAUCCAUAUUUUAAAAGAGACAUAAAGAUGUGGGAUCUGUCUUAAAUUCUUAAGAGAACACACACCCUUAUUAUGAAAAGCUGCUAAAGAUAUUAAAAUUCAAGUUGACAUGUGAUUAUAGGGACCACAAAAAACUAAGUUAACAACUUUGAAUUGGUUCUACAGUUGGAGAUUCUGUAAACUGUAAAUGCAGAUGAUAUUAGUUUGUGGUAGAGAUUUGAAACGUAUUUUGUCUGGAUUGAAUAUGAUAGGUUGCAUGUUGAUGAUCUUUGGAAUUGUUUUGUUUUUUUUUGCAGAUUAGUAUUGUUGUUUUACUUCAGCUUGGUACUGCUAUUGUACUUAAGGAUGCAGGAUGGCUGAAGAUACUUCUAGUAGCUUAUUUUUUCGGUUCAUUUCUCAACCAUAAUCUGUUCUUGGCAAUCCAUGAGCUCAGCCACAAUCUCGCUUCUCAUCUCCAGCAUACAACCGUUGGCUCGGGAUUUUCGCUAACCUCCCUAUCGGUGUGUGGAGCAAUAACAGCAGCAGGAUUAAUGGCAGCACAUGGUAACAAGAAUAGUUGUAAGAAGUAUGGGAUUAUUACCCUCACUGACUGCCGGUCGACGCUUGACCCACCGCUCUCAACUCACCAAUUUGACUUUCAUGGACGCUGACCUGAACCAAGAUGGCAAAAUAAACAUGGUCGAGUGGCGAAAAUUUGUACCUUAUGUUUGGUGCUUUAUGGAAAUUCCUUUUCCGGGUCUGUUCCAAAUGAGAUUCAGAAUCUUAAGUACCUUCAAACUCUUGAUUUGUCUCAGAAUUUCUUUAACGGGUCAUUUCCUGAUUCAGUUCUUGAAUGUAAGAGACUUAAAGCUCUUGUUUUGAGUAGGAACAAUUUUACUGGCUUUUUUCCUAAUGGAUUUGGUGCUGGUUUGUCUUCUCUUGAAAAGCUUGAUCUUUCUUUCAAUGAUUUUCAUGGUUUGAUUCCUAGUGACAUUGGAAAAUUGUCGAGUUUGCAAGGAAAUCUUGAUUUGUCUCAUAAUCAUUUUAGUGGUUCAAUUCCGACUAGUCUUGGAAAUUUGCCUGAAAAUGUUUAUAUAUACCUCAUUUUGAAUGCUAGUUCUGUACGGGCUUUCAUUUGUUGAUUAUGUAUAAAGGAAAAUUGUAUUCAUCAUGUAGUAUCUCUCUUUACACAUGAGUGUUUUGAAUUUGAUAGGGUGUAAAGGUUUAGGAUCUCAUGUAUUGCACUGGUUGUAAACUUCAACCGGCGCAAAGGAAACAUCUAUUAAGAAAGUUGUGGCAAACUUCUCUCGAAAUCGAAGGUAAUUAGAUCUGCUUGUGGCCCUUUAUUCCUCGUUGUACAUGUUGCUUCAGGGUUAUCUUUCAAUCGCUUUUAAUUUGAAUUAAUGAUUUUAUGAAACAUUAGACAUGGCGUUUUUUGUAGCGAGACAUCAAAAUAUGUGGGAAGAAAAACCUUCUAACAUUUUGAAUCUUAUUAGUUGAGAUAACAAUAUAAUCAAUGACAAGGAGGUCUGAAAUGAAGGAAGUCAGAAUAUUUUGGACAGAAAUUAUCUUCGGGAUCAACUCAGUGCAAAAAACACGGAAGUGAACUAUCUAAAAGAGCAUGCUUGCGAUCUUGAUUUGAAGUUCAAGGAGAUGGAAGAUUUACGAAAAGAAGUUUUCACCUUAAGGGAGGAACUGAAUAUCUCCAAUUCAAAGCAAUUUUCUUUGAUUCGUGAGCUAGAGACUAAAGAAGCGGAGUUAGAGCUAUCAGCAUUGUCCGUGGAGAAACUGGAUGAACCAUUUUCAUCCAUGGAGUCUCAGUUUGAAGUUGAAACUAUGAAGCUUGAUAUGAUGGCCUUGGAACAGGAUUUAUUUGAGACCAAGAAAGUUCAGGAUGAAACUCUAGAAGAAAAUAAUAGAAUGAGUAGAUUGAUUAAUGAGUUACAGGGUGCAUUGCAUGAAGCACAAGAUACUAUCGUCUAUUUGAAUGAAGAAAAUAAGGAAAUUAAAGAGAAGCUUGACGCUGCCAACAUGAAUACUAGAUUGUUUUCUCAAAAGGUUGAAGACUGGCUGGAAAGCAAGGACAGACUGCAAAUCAAGGAUCAGUCGAGAAGCAAAGCAGAGGACACAAGGUACAUAAAUUUUGUAAUAUGUUUGAUGAAUUAAAAUGUAAAAUUUGUGCAUUUAAGUAACUUUACAUAGGUUUUAUUGUGGUUUGGUAUUUACUCUUGCUGUUAAGAUGGCUUGACCUUCUAUUUGAUAAAUUAAGACACUGGAAUUGCCAGUUCUGCUACUUCAAAUGAAAAAACGGAAAUUGAGUCUUUUCCCUUUGUUAGGAGCUUUUGUUAGCUAUUGGUUUUUUCCCUUUGAUUUUUUAGCUCUGCUGCUGUUUUGGUUUAUGUUGCAGUAUGUCCAUUGUAAUCUAUUUUUUCCUCCUUUCGGGUAUACCUUGUGCUCGGAUGUGAGUGUUUUUAGUAUAUUUGGUUAUUUAAAAAAGAAAAACUGGAAAUUUGGUUUCUCAAUCUACUUUUCCUGCACUUUACCAUGAUAAAUUUCCAUUUUAACUCAAGUAAGCAAGUGAAUUAAGUUGAAAAGAAACGAAAUUGUACUUCAGGUAUGACUGUUGAAGUUGAAAAGAAAAGAACCGAGUGAAAUUGUACUAAUUCAAUGAAAGCUUGAUAUAUGUUUAAUGUUUAAUGAUAUUAUAAAUGUCAAUUUAAUUCCGUUAUAGUUAGAGUGAUAUGAGUGAUGGUUCCUUUUACUUAAGCAAUGUAUGUUAUUGUUGUUAAAUUAGAACAACACAUUAUAAGACUUAGCUGAAGAAAAAUAUCUAAAUUCUUUGGCAAGGGAAGAUUGAGAGAGACACUCUUUGGUGAGGGAAGUGUGUAGUAUGUGGCAUACUUGAGGGAUGACUCUUGCUGAAUUAUAAAACUCUAAUUCGACCAUACUUUGAAAUACAAGAAAUGAACUUUAAAUUAUUAUACUAAGUUCUGGCAACCAUAUGAGUUAACGUUUCAUUUUUAUGUAAAAGUAAAGUCCUAAAGCUCUAAUGUUUAAACUUGUUUGGGAAAAUCAUCACCCUUUCAAUCAACCUCUCACUCUUAAAUGACCUGAAGAGAUUAGGUUCAAGAUUAGGUUCCUUUCUCUAACUGUUAAAGAGAUUUUGGGUGAAGGUGACAACGCCAAGCUUGAAAUCCAGAUUAAGUUAGAUAAGGAAAAGAAAAUUCUAUCUAUUAGAGACAGAGGUAUUGGUAUGACAAAGGAGGAUUUGAUAAAGAAUUUGGGGACCAUAGCUAAAUCUGGAACUUCUG